UACGUAGGGUGCGAGCGUUGUCCGGAAUUAUUGGGCGUAAAGGGCUCGUAGGCGGUUUGUCGCGUCGGGAGUGAAAAUCCAGGGCUUAACUCUGGACUGGCUUCCGAUACGGGCAGGCUAGAGGUAUGCAGGGGAGAACGGAAUUCCUGGUGUAGCGGUGAAAUGCGCAGAUAUCAGGAAGAACACCCGUGGCGAAGGCGGCUCUCUGGGACGGUACUGACGCUGAGACGCGAAAGCGUGGGGAGCGAACAGG
rnacentral:rRNA from 1 species